rnacentral:lncRNA from 1 species
ACCAUUUCUGUGGACAGGGCCAGGAGGCUGGAAAGCCUAUGAGGCAGAUGGUAUAUCUACCCCUUUAAACCUGGCCAGAGAGAAACUCUGCUUCCUAGAUGGCAACAGCAAUACCACCUCUAGCUGCUGGCUCCACUGGGUGGAACAUUCUCACACAAUGGUGGGGGGGGGGCGCAGAAAUGGGCAGGAGAAGGGUGUUUAGAGCAUGAAAAGGUUCAGGAAGGGUUUUGUUCUCUUCCAAAAAAGGACUGAACCAGCAGAGCCUAGAAAUUCCCCUUCACAAACCAGUAGUGUUGAGAACACAGAUGAGGGAUGCUGUAAAUUUAGCAUUGACUGUCCCUCAUCUGGACCAUAAGAGGUCUGGUGAUGCCUUAACCUCGUCCUCAUCGCUGAAAUGUAUGUGGCAAAUGCUGUGACUGAAAAUUCCUCGGGAACGCAGCUGGGAAGAAGGCUGGACCCUCACUCUGUGUGGGGUUUUGCGGCUGAAGCCAAGACACAUCUGGGAGGUUGCUCUCGGGGUGACAAGAAGGCACACAAGAGCAUCCAAGGAUGGGGGGCCUGCACUGGUGUGAGAGUCAGUGUCCUACUGCCCCCCAAAUCCUUCCCACCCGUCUCCCCCUGACUUUGGCAAAAACAAAAUGUCAAGUAAUAGGGAGGAAUAUUGGUCCGCAAACUUGAUUGUAUGAGAGAUGGCAUACGGAGUCAUUUACUUGAAUUUAAAUCUGACUAAGAGUCCCUUGCCCUACAGUCUGGUGGGGAAUCCAACCAGUCAUUCCUCACCCAUAACCCUUUAGGGUUGUGCACCAGUCCCCAGGGAUGCUUCUGUGCCCAAAAUAUUGGUGAGGCCCCUCCAGCACACACUGCCCACGGCUCUGUACCCUCCUCAUGACCUUGAAAUCCAACCUCACUGUGACUUUCUCACCACCUUAGAGGGGGGCUGGGGCACUGCAAGCCCACUCCACCAGGAUCUGGGUCUUGCCCUCCUAGGUGUGCCAUCCCCUCCAAAGUCUUGCCAGGCCCCCCACAGGCACUGUCUGGAAGAGGGACAGAAGUUCCCAUGCUUUGAGGAGCUCUCUGACCACCCCUCCCCCUCCCUUCCCAGAAAAAAGGAAUCCCUCCUCUCUCUUCUCUCACCUCUUUCCCCUCCAAAGUCCUAGCCUCCUUCCUUCCUCCCUCCAAGAAAACCAGGAGACUGUCUGCAUGAGUUUAAGGCAGUGACCUCAACUGGAAGCCAGCAGGACAAAAAAUUCUGCAGAUACGAUAUAAAUAGUGGACAAGGCAGAUGGAGAUCCAGUGUACAGGGAGCUUACAUUCUAUUUUCUGUUGGGGACAUAGAGACAGGCAUGGGGAGGGUAAGUAAUCACAUGCAAACCAGUGACAAACAGGAUCCUUUCAGGCAGGGCUGAGUGGCUAGAAUAAAACAUACCAAGGGGACAGGAGGGAGGGUAAGAAUGCUCCUAGGUCAGGGAAGUUUCUCCAUGAAGGUGUCAUGUGAGCUGAAGCCUGAAUGACAAGGAGCUCAGUGCAUGGAGAUCUAUGGGAAGAGCAUGGGGGAGGGCGGGACACCCAAAGUUCAAAACCCAAAUUGGGUACAACCUGACUUUUAGGAGUAACAGACAAAAGGCCAGUGGGACCACUGACUUGACUUCAGAGUUGGGGUUAGGGGUUUGCAUUCAGGGAAAGAAGGACUCUCAAGAGGGAACAUUUCUGCAGAGGAGAUAAGUGAGUCCUGGAAUAAUGCAGCAGGUUGCAGUCCAUGGAGAGAGGUGGCCAAUUAGGGACACUCCAGCCAUGAAGAAGCAUGGCCAACGGACUCUAGAAGUACUGACAACCACUCUGGGGUAUUAAGUUUCCAUUUUAUGGGUUAUAAUUUUCUUGUGGUAUCAUCAGGCCCUGGGGGAAAUUCCAUCACAUAGCUAUAGCCUUGAAUUAGCUAUCUGGGGGCCAUGAAGUCCAGGCCGUGUUCUUGUUUGGAGGACUAGGCCAUAGGGAGCUCCACAGACAUGGCUACAACAAGCCUAACGUGAUCAGAAGAGCAAACCAGUCAGACGGAGCUGUGAGAAGCCUAGAUGACUGGAGGGACAUGUGGGCACUCCUUGGUGAUUCUCAGAAACACCUGGGGAAGGAACAGGAUUCCUGAGACAUGCAGGGUAGGGCUCAGACCAUGGCAGCAAGUUAUUAACAGUAAUGACUGCUGAUGGCUGGAAGGUCUCUUAAAAGAGCAGAAGCAGAUGGAUGGAUGAGAUAUGGAUCAUUUUUGGAAAAAUAGAAUUGGAUCUCUAACACAAAGUAGCCUUCUCUCAAGAACUUCCUUUGCUGGAGUUCCCACUGUGGCAUAGUGGGUUAAGAAUCCAACUGCAGUGGCUCAGAGUCACUGAGGAGGAGCAAGUUUGAUCCCAGGCUGGACACAGUGAGUUAAAGAUAGCUAUAGCUUGCCAUAGUUGUGAUGUAGGUCUCAGGUGCAGCUCAGAUUCAAUCCCUGGCCCAGGAACUUCCAUAUGUCACAGGGGCAGCCAUAAAAAAGAAAGAAAGAGAGAGAGAGAGAGAGAGAGAGAGAGAGAGAGAGAGAGAGAGAGAGAGAGAAAGGAAGGAAGGAAGGGAUUAUUAAUUCCCUUGCUAAAUUAUCUCAAAAGCUGUUAUAAUUAAGUUGCCUGUCCAAAGCGCUGACCAGAACAGCAGUAUGUCCCAUCUUGUACCUGGCUAUACUGCUCUUCCUGCAGGCACCACCUCCACUGGCCAAGCUGGCUUGGAGGACCUGAUAAAUUUCCUGAUACAAUACCAAGGGUGAGACCAAAGAGAUGGAUGGGAGUAGUCGGCUGGCAUAAAGCCCUGGAAAGGCCUGGCAUAGGAGGGGGGAUGGGCAAGAUGACUUUUCAAAAUUCAUACUAUAAACUAUCAUCAAUUAUUCACUCAAUAGCCUUGGGAAGCAAUGGCGACUCCUCAUGGAGCUUAUGUUCUAACAGGUGAAAACAGAUCAUAAACAAUAAAAGCAUAAUAAAAACUCAAUCAUAUGAUGUGAUGGAGAGAGAUAAACGCUUUAGAAAGAAAAUGUAGAAGAAGAUAAGGGAAAUCAGAGUACCAGGAAGACGGCCCAUGGCAUUUCUAAUACUGUGGUCAGAACAUGGCAGCAUUUGAGUAAAACAUGAAGGAGACAAGGGAGAAGAACAUUUUAGGCGGAGGGAACAGCCAGUGCAAAGGACCUUGGAUGGGAGGUGUGUGACUGGUACAUUUCAAGAACAGCCAAGAGGCCAGUGUGUCUGGGCUAUCAGAGGGAGCAGGCUAAAGAGGUGACAGAGCCUGCCAUGUAGGGCCCUGUAAACUGCUAUUACAACUUGGGACCCACCAGCUGGUGCAGAAACUGCAAUGAGCUCCAUUACAGCGAGGGCCACACAUUUUCAUGUCUGCCUCCCCAACACCUGGCCCAUUCCCUGCAUCCAGCAAAUACUUGUUGAGUGAAUCACUGAAUAUGAAAUGAGUUUUUUAUCAUAUCCUGGUACAGGGGCCAGUGCUGAGUCACCAAUAUGGCCCCCACUUCCCUGCCAUCCUCCAGUGCUGCAAACAUCCUGGAUGCAAUGUCAGAUGCUAUCUUCACCACCCAAAGGUGUGUUGUCACCCUCCCUAAAGGAGGACAUUGCUUCUCCCCAGAGACCACAUUAUUUGACAUUCUUGGAGAAAAGGAUGGAGAAUGUAGGUCAUUGUGACCAAAUGAAACAAAUCAGCCGGUCAACCUUACCUCCAGGCCCUGCAUCCCUGGCUCCACCUUUCCAGGCUCUGCGUCAGCCCAGCCUGCACCCCGACCCCACCUCCCCCGCACCACAGAGUCCAUUCCCUGAGCACUGCAGAUUUCCUCAGAAAGGAAUUCCUGUGCAGAGUCCAGCCAUGUGUAAUACAAGGCACACUAAUAAGCAAGGGAGGCAGGUAUACUCAUUUUUUUGUUGUUUUUUUUUUGGUUUUUUUUUUUUGAGGCCGUACAGGUCAGCAUACCAAAAUUUUUCCAGAGCCUAAAGUGUCAGCCUAAUAAUUGAAAGGAAAAAAGGGAUGAUCACAGCCCUGUUCCCCUACCCAACUCCUACCCUUCCAUGCCACCCGAAAACCAGGGCCCCACAGGCCUGUGAGAGAUAAGGGGUCAGCUCAGGCCAGCAUGUUCUUAUGGGAGCUCUCUCCCAGAAAUGAGCAGAGUGACACCCCUGGCCCAGGGCUAUCCCUCCCGGGAACUAGAUAUGACUGGACUGGGCAACCUGUAAUGAAGCUUUGCAAAUGCUUCUCCAACAAUGAGGCCCCACCACUGUUGUCCUCUGACACUCAGAGCUGCAGUAAUCUCCCUCCCCAGACUUACUAAAAGCUCCCCUGAACUUUCCCUCAGUCCUUGCUGCUCUAGCACCUGCCAGCCCUGCAGGAACACCCCUGCCUGUGGACCCAGAAUCAGGGAACAAACAACGUGAAGGAAUGUAAACGUGCUCUAGAAAGGUAAACACUUCAGACAGAAGUUACUCAAGAGGUUAGCAGGAUCACCAGACGCCUUAAAAUAUACAUCUGUUCCUAUUGUAGCUCAGCAUGUUAAGACCCCGAUUAGUAUCCAUGAGGAUGCAGGUUUGAUCCCUGGCCUUGCUCAGUGGGUUAAGGAUUCAGCAUUGCUGUGACUGCAGCCGAAGCUCCGAUUCAACCCCUGGCCUGGGAACCUCCAUAUGCCUCAGGUAGAGCCCUAAAAAGAGAAAAAAAUGUAUAUAUAUAUGAACACACAUAUAAAAAGGUGUAUACACACACACAUACACGCAUAUACAUACAUAUGUCUUUGGCUCAAAGCCCUGUUUUAUAUCCUAGGGAAAAAUCUACUGCCAGCCUUGAGAUUUCUGCAAAUUGCAAAGGAACCUAUAUCCUCCCCUCACCUCUGGCUCCAAUUUCCUGCCCUCACUGAAAUCUCAUUCCCUGCUCUCCAUAAUUCCGCACCUUUUCCACCCAACCCUAUCCCCUAACCUAAAAGCAAUCAUUUUUACAAGCAUUGUACAUUAGCCGAAUUUUUAUUGACGGUUUGUAGGUCAUGAGGGAUGGGUUACAUUUUCUCACCACACAGCAAACAACCCAACACCUGAUACUAGAUGUCCCAUUUCUUGAACAUUCUCUAGGGAUCUCUCGUCAUCCAGGCUUUAAUAUGAAGCACUGCGGCUCCUCUCUCCCUAACUCCCCCAGGAAUUCUGCCCACUCCUAGCUCAGAGAGCCCUUGGCUCCCUCCCCAGCUUUGCACAGCCAGAGCCGAACUGGGCAUACAAUGGGACCAAAACGAAUUAACUCCUUUAGAAGGGCCAGCUUUCCAAGACACCUGCUUUAAAUGGUGAUCCUUUCCCUCUGUUUUACCAGUAAAGUUACAAUUAAUUAUAACUCAUUAGGAAGCAAAGGAUAUAUUCUCUCUGUAAGCUUACCCUCUGAUGUGUAGCAUUCUCUGCCUGCUAUUUUUAGGCCCCAAGUCUCCAACUCCAUGCAUAGCUAAAGAAAUAGACUUCCCUAACUUAGAUUCCCUCUUCCAACAGCAUUAGCCCUCUGGCUCUUAUAAAUAAUAUACAUAAUAUCCUUACUUUACCAGUUAUAACUGCUUCAAAUACCUCUGCCACCAAAUGGUCUAAACCAAGAAGCUUAACCUGGGUGGAGGAAUGCGCUAGAAAGCUAGACAAAACCACAAAACCUCUGUGAAUCCCUCAAACUGUAAGCAACUAUGUGCAUUUUUCUGAAAGAGGGUUUAUAAGUUUAAUGAGAUACCUCCCCAAAGGUUUUAACCACUUAUCAGUUAGCCAGAGAGCAGGAAUGGAGCUCUUUAUCAGCAAUGCAGCCUAAGGUGCUAAGGUAGCCUUAAACCAGGUCACUCUUUAAUUGGCAGUUUGGGAAAGAGAAGAAAUCAUGAUUUUUAAAAUAGUAAGUUUUCAAAAAUAGCUGCUAUGAGAGUUGUAAAAAAUCAACAGGAGCCAAGAGCAGGGAAGAUGAAAAUACAAAUUCUUGUUUUUUAUAGAGAGUUUUAAAAAAAUGUGCUUCAAUAAGCUAGUGCCUAAUAGCUAAUGCCUUUAAAAAGACAUCAAUAAAGUGAUUCUGAAAUGCAGGCAUUUACUCCUAUACGUCACAUUCCGAAAAGUCUGGCUUUAUAAUCUUAAAAUAUUAACCAUAAAAACAAAGAUGAAUCAGAUACAUAGAUUUAUUGUAUUCACUGGAGAAUAGCUUUGCUCAGAUAAAACAAUUGCAACAAAUGAACCCAAAGUUAAGGAUGGAUGGAAGCCUAGAGCCAAUUAAAAUGAAAUGGGAAAGAGAUUUAAGUCUGAAAAUUGAAGAUAAGGGUUAGCAAUUAUCCUACCAUCUAACCAAACACACAACUGCUACUGUUCUGGAUGACUUGAUGUAUUUUUAAUUAUCAUAUCAAGAGUUUGACUCUACUUAGAAAAAUGAAAAACG